rnacentral:rRNA from 1 species
ACAGCAGUCGCCGCGGGAAUACGUAGGUCCCGAGCGUUGUCCGGAUUUAUUGGGCGUAAAGCGAGCGCAGGCGGUUAGAUAAGUCUGAAGUUAAAGGCUGUGGCUUAACCAUAGUACGCUUUGGAAACUGUUUAACUUGAGUGCAAGAGGGGAGAGUGGAAUUCCAUGUGUAGCGGUGAAAUGCGUAGAUAUAUGGAGGAACACCGGUGGCGAAAGCGGCUCUCUGGCUUGUAACUGACGCUGAGGCUCGAAAGCGUGGGGCGCAAACAGGAUUAGAUACCCGCGUAGUCCCUGUCUCUUAUACA